rnacentral:lncRNA from 1 species
UUUCAUAAAUCAUUUUACUAAUUGCCACUACUAAUGUUAUCUAUUUAUAUUUUAAUUUUUCUUAAUAUUUUCUUUUAUAAAAUCAUAUAUCAUAAAGGAAUUUAGUAUCAAAAAUAAUAUCUUAAAAACCAAAAUAUAGUGAUUUUUUAUAGAGAAAAAGACCAAAAUAGCACUAAAUCAAGUUUUUGUUCCCAAACUAGCACUCAAGGCCAAAAGUCACAAAAAUAGCACUCAAGGGGUAGGGUUUAGGGUUUAGAAUUUAGGGUUUAGGGUUUAGAGUUUAUGUUUUAGGGUUUAGAGUUGAGAAGUGAGGUUUUGGGGAUAAGAUUU